rnacentral:tRNA from 1 species
GAGGGCAUAACUCAGUGGUAGAGUGUGUGCUUAGCAUGCACAAGGUCCUGAGUUCAGUCUCCAGUACCUCCA